AUUGAACGCUGGCGGCAGGCCUAACACAUGCAAGUCGAACGAGUGGCGGACGUGUGAGUAAUGUCUGGGAAACUGCCUGAUGGAGGGGGCUAACUACUGGAAACGGUAGCUAAUACCGCAUACCAUCAGAUGUGCCCAGAUGGGAUUAGCUAGUUGGUGGGGUGACGGCUCACCAAGGCGACGAUCCCUAGCUGGUGUGAGAGGAUGACAAGCCACACUGGAACUGAGAAACGGUCCAGUCUCCUACGGGAGGCAGCAGUGGGGAAUAUUGCACAAUGGGCGCAAGCCUGAUGCAGCCAUGCGGCGUGUAUGAAGAAGGCCUUCGGGUUGUAAAGUACUUGCAGCGGGGAGGCGUUACCCGCAGAAGAGGCACCGGCUAAAUCCGUGCCAGCAGCCGCGGUAAUAC
rnacentral:rRNA from 1 species